UUUAUGGAGAGUUUGAUCCUGGCUCAGGAUGAACGCUGGCGGCGUGCCUAAUACAUGCAAGUCGAGCGAACGGACGAGAAGCUUGCUUCUCUGAUGUUAGCGGCGGACGGGUGAGUAACACGUGGAUAACCUACCUAUAAGACUGGGAUAACUUCGGGAAACCGGAGCUAAUACCGGAUAAUAUUUUGAACCGCAUGGUUCAAAAGUGAAAGACGGUCUUGCUGUCACUUAUAGAUGGAUCCGCGCUGCAUUAGCUAGUUGGUAAGGUAACGGCUUACCAAGGCAACGAUGCAUAGCCGACCUGAGAGGGUGAUCGGCCACACUGGAACUGAGACACGGUCCAGACUCCUACGGGAGGCAGCAGUAGGGAAUCUUCCGCAAUGGGCGAAAGCCUGACGGAGCAACGCCGCGUGAGUGAUGAAGGUCUUCGGAUCGUAAAACUCUGUUAUUAGGGAAGAACAUAUGUGUAAGUAACUGUGCACAUCUUGACGGUACCUAAUCAGAAAGCCACGGCUAACUACGUGCCAGCAGCCGCGGUAAUACGUAGGUGGCAAGCGUUAUCCGGAAUUAUUGGGCGUAAAGCGCGCGUAGGCGGUUUUUUAAGUCUGAUGUGAAAGCCCACGGCUCAACCGUGGAGGGUCAUUGGAAACUGGAAAACUUGAGUGCAGAAGAGGAAAGUGGAAUUCCAUGUGUAGCGGUGAAAUGCGCAGAGAUAUGGAGGAACACCAGUGGCGAAGGCGACUUUCUGGUCUGUAACUGACGCUGAUGUACGAAAGCGUGGGGAUCAAACAGGAUUAGAUACCCUGGUAGUCCACGCCGUAAACGAUGAGUGCUAAGUGUUAGGGGGUUUCCGCCCCUUAGUGCUGCAGCUAACGCAUUAAGCACUCCGCCUGGGGAGUACGACCGCAAGGUUGAAACUCAAAGGAAUUGACGGGGACCCGCACAAGCGGUGGAGCAUGUGGUUUAAUUCGAAGCAACGCGAAGAACCUUACCAAAUCUUGACAUCCUUUGACAACUCUAGAGAUAGAGCCUUCCCCUUCGGGGGACAAAGUGACAGGUGGUGCAUGGUUGUCGUCAGCUCGUGUCGUGAGAUGUUGGGUUAAGUCCCGCAACGAGCGCAACCCUUAAGCUUAGUUGCCAUCAUUAAGUUGGGCACUCUAAGUUGACUGCCGGUGACAAACCGGAGGAAGGUGGGGAUGACGUCAAAUCAUCAUGCCCCUUAUGAUUUGGGCUACACACGUGCUACAAUGGACAAUACAAAGGGCAGCGAAACCGCGAGGUCAAGCAAAUCCCAUAAAGUUGUUCUCAGUUCGGAUUGUAGUCUGCAACUCGACUACAUGAAGCUGGAAUCGCUAGUAAUCGUAGAUCAGCAUGCUACGGUGAAUACGUUCCCGGGUCUUGUACACACCGCCCGUCACACCACGAGAGUUUGUAACACCCGAAGCCGGUGGAGUAACCUUUUAGGAGCUAGCCGUCGAAGGUGGGACAAAUGAUUGGGGUGAAGUCGUAACAAGGUAGCCGUAUCGGAAGGUGCGGCUGGAUCACCUCCUUU
rnacentral:rRNA from 1 species